rnacentral:rRNA from 1 species
UCUUCCCAUUCCGAACAGAGAAGUUAAGCCCCGUCGCGCCGAUGAUACUGCAUCAGCUUGUGGGAAAGUAGGUCGUCGCCAACC